rnacentral:tRNA from 1 species
GGACAGGUAGCUCAGUGGUAGAGCGGAAGAUUGCAGUUCCACUGCAAGUAUCUUUAGGUCGCGUGUUCGAUCCACGCCCGGUCCU